CCUACGGGUGGCUGCAGUGGGGAAUAUUGGACAAUGGGCGAAAGCCUGAUCCAGCCAUGCCGCGUGUGUGAAGAAGGCCUUCGGGUUGUAAGGCACUUUCAGUGGGGAAGAAAGCCUUGGGGCUAAUACCCUCGAGGAAGGACAUCACCCACAGAAGAAGCACCGGCUAACUCCGUGCCAGCAGCCGCGGUAAUACGGAGGGUGCGAGCGUUAAUCGGAAUUACUGGGCGUAAAGCGCGCGUAGGCGGUCUGAUAAGCCGGUUGUGAAAGCCCCGGGCUCAACCUGGGAACGGCAUCCGGUAAGUUGCAGGGGAGAGGGGAGGAGAGGAGGGGAGAGUACACGGUGUGACGAGGAAAUGAGUAGAGGUCGGCAGAAAACAGAGUGGGGAAGGCGGGCGGAUGGACUUAAUGUGACGAUGUGGUGCGAGAGCGUGGAUAGCAAACAGGGUUAGAAAAACUAGUAGU
rnacentral:rRNA from 1 species